AGAAGGUAGCGUAGACGUCCACAGCUACGCGGUGCACGGUUCUGCCUGCCACUGGCACCUCGCGACAUCAUCCACUCCGCUCAUUCCCACCCCGCGACAUCGUGCCCCUUGCUCCCACUCUCCUCUCCCUCGGCCCUCCUCCCGUCCCUCGAUAGCCGCCGCCGCCCGACGCCCCUGAUCGUGCGUUGCCCCCUCCUCCAAGCCAGAUCCACCGCAUGGCCCCCGUCCUCCCUGCUCCCCCCUCCUCCAAGGCAGAUCCGUCGCAUGGCCCCCUGUCCUCCCCGCGACGCCGUGAUAUCACAUCGGAUUUGUUAGGGUUUGGGGUUUUUGCGGUUGACUCCGAAUCCCGCCGUCGCCGCUCGUGCAGGAGGCCCUCCCAGUGCUCCCCUCCUCAACCACCCCGGGUAAGGAGAUCUCCCGGGUAAGUGGUUCCCAUUCCUACCAUUGUCGCAGAUCCCCCACCCUCCUCCCUCUCUGCUCUGCGAGCCUCGGAUCUCAGUCCUCGCCGGAUCUCGGUCUUCUACAACCUUUCCGGAGCGCAGCGAGGACGCUUGGGUAGGUCGGCUUCCAAGCAGCCCCGGAGAUCUCGGUCCUCGCCCACACUCUCCAUGGAAGGAGAUCACCUCCUUUGCGCCCCGGCACUCUUGCCUCGAAUCCCGCCGCCGCUGCUCGUGCAGGAGGCCUCGAGCUCCCAUUGCUCCCCUCCUCAACCACCCUAGGUAAGUGACAUGCGCGCAAGUGCCCCAUGACGCCCGCCCGCCCCAUGACGCUUGGCGACUCCCAUCCCCGCCCCUAACCCAUGGCCGACCUCUCCUUUGAGCCUGGGCGUCCUGGGGAAUCAACAAUUGAGCUUGGUCGAGUUAUUGACCGUGGCCUCAGGGAGAGUCGAGCUGUUGACAUGGAGUUCUUGUGUGUUGUUGCUGGGAAGCAUGUCUGGUCUGUGCGUGUGGACCUUCACAUCUUGGAUAACGGAGGGAAUCUCAUUGAUGCAGCUAAUAUCGUUGCAUUGGCAGCUUUAUCUACUUUCUGGAGGCCUGAAUGCACGGUUGGUGGGGACGAUGGUCAGCAAGUUACAGUGCAUGAUCCUGAGAUAGACGUACACUCCCAAUGUGCUCUAUUGUCCUCAAAGGUCAUGCUCCCUUAUAGCAUUAGAUUCAUUAAUUAUACUCCCUGCAUCCUGAAAAGGAUGCAAUUAUAGAACAGUGAUAGGUAACAAUUAAUGUUUAUUGUACUAAAUAGGUACCAUUAGAUUUGUCAUGAGCCCAUGAAACAUAUAUUUACAGUAUACUUAUUUGAAGUCAUACAUGUUGAUACUAUUUUCUAUAAAUUUAGUCAAACUUAAGGUAGCUUGAUUUUGAUCAGACCUAGAAUUGCAUCCUUCUUGGGACGGAGGUAGUAUGUCCUUAAGAGCACAUUCGUCUGACUCCCAUAAUUUUCUUAGUGUGAAACUGCAGUAUGGGCCUAAUGCUCGCCUUUUGUCCUGCUUUGUUAACCACUGCAACUAUCUUUGUGUUUUGAUUUGAUGUAUUUUACAGGUUAGGGAUCUACUUCCUCUUACGAUACACCAUAUGCCCAUAGUUGUAACAUUUGCAUAUUUUGGUGAAGGUAACAUCGUGGUUCUUGAUCCCACAUACAAGGAAGAAGCAGUAAUGGGAGGGAGGAUGACUGCUAUAGUUAACUCAAAUGGGGAUGUUUGUGCCAUUCAGAAAGCUGGUGGAGAGGGUCCCGUGUCAAGUGUUACCAUGCAGUGUUUAAGAAUUGCUUCGGUAAAGGCUGCUGUUAUAACAAGCAAAAUAAAGAAAGCG